rnacentral:rRNA from 1 species
GUAGUCUCGCACAGAUGCAUAUCAAUAAGCGGAGGAAAAGAAACUAACAAGGAUUCCCUCAGUAACGGCGAGUGAAGCGGGAAGAGCUCAAAUUUGAAAUCUUGAAAGGUCACCUUUCACGAAUUGUAGUUUAAAGAAGUGUUUUCUGUUACGAUCGUAAUAUAAGUUCUUUGGAAUAGGACAUCACAGAGGGUGAGAAUCCCGUCUAUGAUUGCGAUUUGUAGCUUUGUGAUACACUUUCAAAGAGUCGGGUUGUUUGGGAAUGCAGCCCAAAACGGGAGGUAAAUUUCUUCUAAGGCUAAAUAUUGGCGAGAGACCGAUAGCGAACAAGUACCGUGAGGGAAAGAUGAAAAGAACUUUGAAAAGAGAGUUAAAUAGUACGUGAAAUUGUCAAAAGGGAAGCGUUUAACACCAGUGUUGUUUUCUGAAAAUCAACCUCUGUUAGCUUUAUGCAUGUUUGUUUAGACCUAAUCAGCUAUCUUGCAUGUUCUAUUGUUUGCAGUGGUGCACUUUUCAGUUUACAGGUCAACAUCAGUUUUUUUUACCGUAAAAAAGUUAAAGAAAGGUAGCUCAUGGCUCCGGUCGUGAGUGUUAUAGUCUUUUUCCUAUGCGGUAGGAGAGACUGAGGUCUGCAGUGUAGGCUAUUUGGCUAGAUACUCAGGUGCUAUGUGAUACCAUUCCAUAAACAACUUGUUGAUUAUGUUUUGUCUAUUGCAUACUCGCUUGUACUAUCAUACCUACGCUUAGGAUGUUGAGUCGUAGAGCACGCAG